UGCCAGCAGCCGCGGUAAUACGGAGGGGGUUAGCGCUGUUCGGAAUUACUGGGCGUAAAGCGCACGUAGGCGGAUUAGAAAGUUAGAGGUGAAAUCCCGGGGCUCAACCCCGGAACUGCCUUUAAAACUACUAGUCUAGAGUUCGAGAGAGGGAAGUGGAAUUCCGGGUGUAGCGGUGAAAUGCGUAGAUAUCCGGAGGAACACCAGUGGCGAAGGCGACUUCCUGGUCCAAUACUGACGCUGAUGUGCGAAAGCGUGGGGAGCAAACAGGAUUAGAUA
rnacentral:rRNA from 1 species